GAUGAACGCUGGCGGCGUGCCUAAUACAUGCAAGUCGAGCGAACGGACGAGAAGCUUGCUUCUCUGAUGUUAGCGGCGGACGGGUGAGUAACACGUGGAUAACCUACCUAUAAGACUGGGAUAGCUUCGGGAAACCGGAGCUAAUACCGGAUGAUAUUUUGAACCGCAUGGUUCAAAAGUGAAAGACGGUCUUGCUGUCACUUAUAGAUGGAUCCGCGCUGCAUUAGCUAGUUGGUAAGGUAACGGCUUACCAAGGCAACGAUGCAUAGCCGACCUGAGAGGAUGAUCGGCCACAGUGGAGCUGAGACACGGUGAAGACUCCUACGGGAGGCAGCAGUAGGGAAUCGUCCGCAAUGGGCAAAAGCCUGACGGAGCAACGCCGCGUGAGUGAUGAAGGUCUUCGGAUCGUAAAACUCUGUUAUGGAAGAACAUAUGUGUAAGUAACUGUGCACAUCUUGACGGUACCUAAUCAGAAAGCCACGGCUAACUACGUG
rnacentral:rRNA from 1 species